AUGAAAUCAAACUUCAGUACAAACAAGUCUAUGCUUUGUGCUUUCCCUGCUAGGUGCUGGGCUUCCUGUUGGUGCUGUAUAGUAGGUCUCAUGGUUUCUAACUUGGCUGCAUGUUGGAAUCACCUGGCCCCCACCCAUCUCAGAUUCAGGUUAAAUUGGUUUGUGUUACUUCCUUGGUGCCACACACUGGAAAAAGAACAUGACUGUUCUUUGCUCUCUGACCCAGAGGCCCAGCUGACAGCCCCAGCAAGAGGUCCAGGAAAAGCUACUCUGUUGUCAGGGACCAUCUUUUUACCCAGUCACAGGCUCCCAGAUCCCCCUGUUACACAGUUUUCUAAAUUUAUUUCUGCACAGAAAUUCUUCCCAUUCCUCCCUGUGGGCUGGGCUUUUGAAAUAAAGAAGCUAAAAAUGAACUCUGCAGUCUGUCGUAUCCUUCGUUUCCUGAAAUGACAAAUGCAGAAUAACCUA
rnacentral:lncRNA from 1 species